rnacentral:rRNA from 2 species
UAAUACAUGCAAGUCGAGCGCACUGGCCCAACUGAUAUGACGUGCUUGCACUGAAUUGACGUUGGAUUACCAGUGAGCGGCGGACGGGUGAGUAACACGUGGGCAACCUGCCCUGAAGCGGGGGAUAACAUCUGGAAACAGGUGCUAAUACCGCAUAACAACGAAAACCACAUGGUUUUCGUUUCAAAGAUGGUUUCGGCUAUCACUUCAGGAUGGGCCCGCGGUGCAUUAGCUAGUUGGUAAGGUAACGGCUUACCAAGGCAAUGAUGCAUAGCCGAGUUGAGAGACUGAUCGGCCACAAUGGAACUGAGACACGGUCCAUACUCCUACGGGAGGCAGCAGUAGGGAAUCUUCCACAAUGGGCGCAAGCCUGAUGGAGCAACACCGCGUGAGUGAAGAAGGGUUUCGGCUCGUAAAGCUCUGUUGUUGGAGAAGAACGUGCGUGAGAGUAACUGUUCACGCAGUGACGGUAUCCAACCAGAAAGUCACGGCUAACUACGUGCCAGCAGCCGCGGUAAUAC